CACCGCGGUUAAACGAGGAGCUCAAGUUGACAAACAACGGCACAAAGCGUGGUUAGAGGAUAAAAUAAACUAAAGCCGAACCACUUCAAGGCCGUAAAACGCAUUCGAAAACGUGAAGCUCAACAACGAAAGUGGCUUUACCCACCCCGAACCCACGAAAGCUAAGGAA
rnacentral:rRNA from 1 species